rnacentral:rRNA from 1 species
UGAGCAAUCUGCCCUUCUCAUCGGAAUAAGCGUUGGAAACGACGUCUAAUGCCGAAUACGACCUCCUUUCGCAUGAUCGGAGGUGGAAAGCUCCGGCGGAGAAGGAUGAGCUCGCGGCCUAUCAGCUAGUUGGUGUGGGUAAUGGCCCACCAAGGCGACGACGGGUAGCCGGCCUGAGGAGGGUCGACCGGCCACACGUGGGACUGAGACACGGCCAGACCUCCGUACGGGAGCAG